CGCCUGCGCAUUGGGGUUGCGCUGGGGUGGGUGUCCAGCGCUGUAGGAGGAACGCGGUGGGAGGAAGGCUUGCGGGCGUGCGGACUCGGCUUCGGGCCGAGCGCUUUGAAGAAUUUUGCAGAACCCUGCUACCUACAGACUCUGCCAUGGAUGUCAUGUAAAGAAACCCCGGAUGUAGUAACGGACAAAACAUGAGUCAGUUUGUGUUGUGGCAUUCAGAUCUGAACACACUGGGAGAGAUUGUGGAGGACCCGAGGAACUUACGGAGUUUGUUUGUUUUCUGUCCACUGUGACUCCAGAAGUGAUUCUGAAUGGAGAAGACGUAGGACCGGUCAGUGGUAGGAUGGACUGUGCUUGGAAGGUGAGGUCCUUGUGCUUAGGAUGGCAGAAGUGAGCCCGGAUGUCGGGAAGCCAGGAGCAGGGCAGAGGGG
rnacentral:lncRNA from 1 species